UACGAAGGGGGCUAGCGUUGCUCGGAAUUACUGGGCGUAAAGGGCGCGUAGGCGGAUAGUUUAGUCAGAGGUGAAGGCCCAGGGCUCAACCUUGGAAUUGCCUUUGAUACUGGCUGUCUUGAGUACGGGAGAGGUGAGUGGAACUCCGAGUGUAGAGGUGAAAUUCGUAGAUAUUCGGAAGAACACCAGUGGCGAAGGCGACUCACUGGCCCGUUACUGACGCUGAGGCGCGAAAGCGUGGGGAGCAAACAGG
rnacentral:rRNA from 1 species